rnacentral:rRNA from 1 species
GAUAACGGCGUCGAGCGGCGGACGGGUGAGUAAUGCCUAGGAAAUUGCCCUGAUGUGGGGGAUAACCAUUGGAAACGAUGGCUAAUACCGCAUAAUGCCUACGGGCCAAAGAGGGGGACCUUCGGGCCUCUCGCGUCAGGAUAUGCCUAGGUGGGAUUAGCUAGUUGGUGAGGUAAUGGCUCACCAAGGCGACGAUCCCUAGCUGGUCUGAGAGGAUGAUCAGCCACACUGGAACUGAGACACGGUCCAGACUCCUACGGGAGGCAGCAGUGGGGAAUAUUGCACAAUGGGCGCAAGCCUGAUGCAGCCAUGCCGCGUGUGUGAAGAAGGCCUUCGGGUUGUAAAGCACUUUCAGUCGUGAGGAAGGU